rnacentral:miRNA from 1 species
UCGAGAUGUGAAGGACUUUGU